GAUGAACGCUAGCUACAGGCUUAACACAUGCAAGUCGAGGGGUAACGAGAGGAAAGCUUGCUUUCCUUGUCGACGACCGGCGCACGGGUGAGUAACGCGUAUCCAACCUGCCCCCAACUAAGGAAUAACCUUGCGAAAGUAAGACUAAUACCUUAUAAUUUCCUCAGAUGUCAUCUGACGAGGAAUAAAGAUUUAUCGGUUGUGGAUGGGGAUGCGUCUGAUUAGCUUGUUGGCGGGGUAACGGCCCACCAAGGCAACGAUCAGUAGGGGUUCUGAGAGGAAGGUCCCGCACAUUGGAACUGGGACACGGUCCAAACUCCUACGGGAGGCAGCAGUGAGGAAUAUUGGUCAAUGGGCGAAAGCCUGAACCAGCCAAGUAGCGUGCAGGAUGACGGCCCUAUGGGUUGUAAACUGCUUUUAUACAGGAAUAAAGUUAGCCACGUGUGGUUAUUUGUAGGUACUGUAUGAAUAAGGACCGGCUAAUUCCGUGCCAGCCGCCGCGGUAA
rnacentral:rRNA from 1 species